UACGUAGGGCGCAAGCGUUGUCCGGAAUUAUUGGGCGUAAAGAGCUCGUAGGCGGCCAGUUGCGUCUGCUGUGAAAUCCCGGGGCUCAACCCCGGGCGUGCAGUGGAUACGGGCUGGCUAGAGGCAGGCAGGGGAGAACGGAAUUCCCGGUGUAGCGGUGAAAUGCGCAGAUAUCGGGAGGAACACCGGUGGCGAAGGCGGUUCUCUGGGCCUGUACUGACGCUGAGGAGCGAAAGCUAGGGGAGCAAACGGG
rnacentral:rRNA from 1 species